rnacentral:rRNA from 1 species
UACGGGGGGUGCGAGCGUUGUCCGGAAUCACUGGGCGUAAAGGGCGCGUAGGUGGUGUCGUAAGUCUGUGGUGAAAGCCCGGGGCUCAACCCCGGGUCUGCCAUGGAGACUGCGAGACUCGAGUACUGUAGGGGCUGGUAGAAUGCCGGGUGUAGCGGUGGAAUGCGUAGAGAUCCGGCAGAAGACCGGUGGCGAAGGCGGCCAGCUGGGCAGUGACUGACACUGAGGCGCGACAGCGUGGGGAG